rnacentral:tRNA from 1 species
GGGCGGUUAACUCAGUGGCUAGAGUAUCGGCUUUACACGCCGGAUGUCGGGGGUUCGAAUCCCUCACCGCCUACCA